CCUACGGGAGGCUGCAGUGAGGAAUAUUGGUCAAUGGACGAGAGUCUGAACCAGCCAAGUCGCGUGAAGGAUGACUGCCCUAUGGGUUGUAAACUUCUUUUAUAUGGGAGUAAAAUGUUCCACGUGUGGGCUUUUGUAUGUACCAUAUGAAUAAGGAUCGGCUAACUCCGUGCCAGCAGCCGCGGUAAUCCGGAGGAUCCGGGCGUGAUCCGGUUUUUUUGGGUUGAAAGGGAGCGUAGGGGGGUUGUUAAUUGAGUUGUGAAAGUUUGUGGCUCAACCGGAAAAUUGCAGUUGAAACUGGCAGUCUUGAGUACAGUAGAGGUGUGCGGAAUUCGUGGUGUAGCGGUGAAAUGCUUAGAUAUCACGAAGAACCCCGAUUGCGAAGGCAGCUCACUGGACUGCAACUGACACUGAGGCUCGAAAGUGUGGGUAUCAAACAGGAUUAGAUACCCUUGUAGUC
rnacentral:rRNA from 1 species